CCCUGGGAACCCUGUAUUUAGUCCGUGUUAGACACAAUGAACCACUUCCAGUUCACUAUCAUCAUUCCUAGGAGGUUAUAAGGCUUUUAUUUUUUAAAAAUCAUCGAGUGACUGAAGGGUUAGGAUUUACUGUUUCAAAAUAUUUUUCAAAAAUUCUUUUGCCUGUGAGGAUGCCAUGGAGAGUAAUAGUUGUUAAAAAGGCUUUAUGUUUCGCAGUAUGGCGUGUGACUUGAAGAGGACAGCUCUUGAAACGAGGCUCUCUCGUGGCUGGACUGGCUUCAGAUGUUAGAAGAGUCGUUGCCAGGGAUGUUGAGGUGUCGUCCUCAAAGUCAUUAUAACAGGCAAGGUGGCUGGACCACGAGCCGAAGUUUACAGCGUCUGUCAUCAAAUCCACAAAAGACGUUGGAAUGUCUUAACAAUGACUAGUGAAAAAAGUAGGGUGGCCUUUAUCUAGUUAUCUCAACCCAAAGAAAAAAAGAGGACAGUCGGCCUUUAUUGUUUUUAUUAUUUCUUCCUGUAAUUGUUUUUUCUGAAUCUCUGAGACACUGAUUUAAAAUAAAAAGAAAACUAACAGAAGGGUUGGGGACGGACGAAGACGUGAGCCACAUAAAAUGUCUUUCUGUGAUGGUGUAAGGACAAGGCAAUCGUGUCGUGAGGAAAUGCUCUACAAUGGCGGGCGUUGGUAGCCUGUUCUACUUCUGCGAUGGAAGAAAAUUGGAAUGGGUAGGAGGGGGAAAAGGGAAGGAGGUCGGUUCGUUGGUUUCCCAUAUCGAUGACGUAUUGCUGGGAUGGCGAAACCUUGGCAUUUCUGUUUGAAAGUGAGGUCUUUGCACGCUACAGUGAUUGUAAUAUAUCACACCAAAGAACUCGCUUCGAGUCUGGCCAGACAUACCGAUAUAAAUGAACAAACAAAACGGCCAAAGAAGCUUUGGCUUUAAGCAGACGAUGUGUUGCUUGCUUGUUUCUUCCGUUCUUUACACCGAAUCAGCUACUGAUGCUACAUCAUGGCAAGCUAGUCCAGUGCUAUAAACAAGUACAAGAUCCGGGGAAAGAAGUCGCAUGUCGGUGCGAGAUCUGAACCUGUGACCCCAUGAUCUUUGCUAUUUUGGUGACACGUGCUUGGCUGUGUGCUACCGUGCAUGCCGCUUUUUAAGCAGAAGAGGAGAAUAAAAGACACGCACGAGGAUUUCAAAAGGUAGAAAAUUAAACAUCAUUCAGUAGUCGAUGCAGUGGUUAAUAUUAUUCGGUGCACGAUGGUGAUGCUUGGUGUUUUCUGCUUUUUCAUGUUGAGCUGUUUCCCUGCAACCUCAAGCAAAGCUGGAGUCCAUUAUGAUAAGAUGUUCUUAGAAGCUACUGAUGUUGCAGACGAUUUUGUUAAGCAAGACGACGGAGCUAGUGUCACACCUCUGCCAGAAUUCACUCACGAAAACCAGUGGGAGACUUCACCAGCCACGAAAAACUUUUCUGUUUCAACCUCUUCUAGGCCUGAACUAACUUGGAAGGACACCGAAGUAGUGACCAAUACCUCGGUGAAGAACAAGGGUGACUUGGAGCUUCUGUCGACAGGCACCACGAGUGGUGAUGUCAUGUCCUUCUCCAGGCUCAACGGACCUUUCUUUACUUUCGCCACAGCGUUUGCUGCAGGACCAAUGAAUGGGUCUCGGGUAUUCGACGGACUCUUCAGGGGAGAAGAGACAAAACACAGUCUUUCUCACGUUUCCGAAAGCCGUUCUGAUCACGUGAUCACGACAGAAUGGUCUGACAGAGGUGCCAUGCUCGAGAUGGCCGCUGACAGUACGAAGGAAAAUAGGAGCAGCGGCGGGACAAGAUCCCCAGCAAACCUGUGCUCUGUCAGUGUCGUCAGCGAAGACAUCCUAGUGGACUACCACAACGACUCCCAAGAAGCUCCGCCGGUUUUGUCUCCUGAAACGUACGCCUAUAUCAGCAAAGUUCUGGACAAUGUACGCUUGCCGUGGGACGUCACUUCCGGCUUGCUGACCCUGACGAGUACAUGCAUAUAUAUGCUUCCGGGCAUGCGCAGUCCCACAGGCUAUUAUCUCGUCUCUAUGAACUUGUUUGAGACGCUGUCCGCGCUUACCGGAGUCGUGGGGCUGUGGUGGAGAACAGUGGAUGGACCCGAAGUUGCUUACACUGAGACGUACAACUACGUGCAGAUGGUGUGUGCAAUGUACAUCAACCUCUGCUGCCGGCGCUGCGUCUACUGGCUGGCGGUCGUCGUGUCCAUCGAGCGAGUCUUCGCCGUCAAGUGUCCACUGAGGGCCCGCUACGGCAAGCUGGUCAGGUUUCCCAUGCUGUUUAUCUUGGCCGAUGUGACUGCCACAGUGGCAUUUCACACCUACAUCCCGCUGUCUUAUCGGGUAGUGCAGAAGGAGGCUACCUGUCAGUACCACGUCACAUUCACGGCCUUGUACCUGCAGCAGGUAGAUGACUUUCAAAUCGUCUCCAACGCCGCGAAGUACAUCUUCGCCUACCUACCCCUGUUGGCCGGGGUCUGCACCAACGUGGCCUUGUACCUGGCACUCCAACAGGAGUCGCGCACUCACCUGUCCCUGUGCGCUGUCCACCAGGGGGCGCCACUCCGAAAGAAGAUGCUGGUACAGCGACAGCUGGCCCUGGCUAUCUUGGUGUCGAACACUGUGUUCACGCUGCUGUCACUACCCAACAACACCAUUCACCUGGUCUCCACCUACCACGCAACCUUCGGCCUGGGCAAGCGGGACCAUCACCUGUACCUCAUCCUGUCCCACGGGGCUCUCCUCCUGGUGGAUCUCAGUCGCGUCACCAGCUUCCUGUCCUACGUCACCCUCAGCACCAAGUUCCGGCGAAACGUUCUGCGCAUGCUCACGCCGCGGUCUGCGCUGAAGAAGCUCGGCGCCUGGGGGAUGGGCGACUUGACCAGAGCUACGGUCGACACGCGGUUACAAAUAACAUUCUCCAGCGGAGCAGUGCCAACUGUCACUGGCAGCAUGUCUGUCUCUUAUGCUUAAUAUUCUGUUAUUUAUAGUUUACUUCUUGGUUGCUGACACCUUGUAGAGGUAGUUAUAUGUAUGAAAGCGAGUUCAACCCUUUAGUCUUUAGUAUUUACUAAUCUGUGUCGUGAAAGAUGUUAAGGCUAACCUUUGAAUCAACGAGCUAGUACAGUAAAUAUAAUAAAAAAAUAGUAUGUAAGUCAGGUCAAAAUUAACUACAAUGAUUUUAUUUCUACACAUUACAGAAAAAUGUGUUACUCUUCAAAUGGCGAGAGUGUGUUAUUGUUUUGAAAAAUAUUGAGUACAGAAUUUUGUAAGAAGAAAAAUUUUCAACGCAUAGUCAUCGAGGCAGCACGGACUUUUUUUUUUUUUUAUAUAUAAAAAGGCGUCUAGCAGCCUCUUAAUUAGUCAUCAUGCAUAUUUAACUAAUUUUGUAUCAUGUUCAUCAAAAUCACGGUUCCCGUACGUCUAGAGCAUGUAUAAAUUUUUUCCAAUUUUAUUAUAUAAAAUCGACUAAAAGCAGACUAAUCUAUUCCAGGAAGCGUAAGUGUUCAGGUAAUUUAUGACACUCAUUAUUUUACAGCAACUCUUGAAUUUAGAUAAAGAUUUUUACAAAAUAUCUUGAAAAAGUAAAUGGUGUCUGCAUAUCAUUUUUUAAAAUAUUGAAAUUAGACCAAAGGAGAGUUAUUAUGAAGGAUUUAUUAGUGGUCAGCGUUAAUUACUUUAGCUGGACUGCGAUUAAUUGUUUAAUGUAAUGCAAAUUCAUCUCGAGUAUUGUCACUCUUUAUAAAUAACGGGUACUGCUAAUCCCCACCCCUUUAAAUCCUUUUUUCUCCCCUUGCCGCUUUACCUGUCCGCCCGGUGGCGCCUGUCUCCAAUACAGUCAGGAUUGUCUGUCCUGGGUUCAGAUCUCGUCUCAGGCUUGCUGUUCUUUCUCUGCAUGUGGCACCUGUCUUUACAGGGCUGGAUGCUUUUUGCCGUGAUAUAGCUUAAUUGCUGGCUUGGCAUAACACUCUUAUCAUACCCCUUCUUCCCUCCAAUCCGCGUUACCUCUCUCUCACUCAUUCUCUGGUUUAGUUACCACCUAGAUACCACUCUCCGAGCUUUCAAGUUUGUCUCAUUUGCUCACGUGUUUUCUAGCGGAUUCUUGGCUGCAGAUGUUUUCCUGUCAGAGUCACCAUGACUCAGGGUCAAAGAUUUAUUUAAAGUCUCGUAAGAACACAUUAACCUCUGCGCCCUAGCGAUAUGCGAACUAUUAGCUGCAAAUUAAGCGUGGGAAGUGAGAUUAAAGGGUUGUCAUGGAAGUCCGUUGUACACCGCCAUUUUAAAAUUAAUUUAUUUGUUUUCGUGCUAGAGAUUAUCAGCUUGGGAAAGGAGGCUGUAAAAAAAAAAAAUAGCAGGAAUUAGAGAUUUAGCAGAUGCACUUAUAUCUUUGGGGUGGCAGGUUUAAUUUUGAGCGAAUGCCUGUGGCAUUGUAUGUCUCUGUUUACAACUAAGCUGUGCUAGGUAAUGAGGGGACAAGAAAACUUUAUACAUACAAGUAAAAGAAUAAGCUGUCGUGGGAAAUUUUUGAGGAUGUAUCUCUACUCAUCAUCUGGAAUCCAUCCAUACAGCAACCAAAGUCAAGCACACACACACAUAUACACCACAUCCAUUUUUUUUUUUUUUUGCCAUCCUUUCAUCUACUUGGUUUCUCCUCUACUUGUCUUCCUCCUUCUCGCUAAACAGGAAGCCAAAGGCGAUUUCACAAGAUGGUGAUCUUGUGCAAGCGUUAAAGAAGGGCGGGUAUCACUUGUGAGGAACGGGUGGCGCAGACGGUAGGAGUUGACUCGCACUUUCUUACCGUACCUACGGGAGUGGUUAGGUCGCUUUGUUGUGCUGGAACUCUCUUCUGGCUUGUGUUUGUUUGCCUGUGGCUGCCAGAGAGCUUCAGGUCUCCAGGACCCGGUUGCAUUGCUCGGGCGUAGCUAGUCCCCUGCUAGUCCCGACUAAACCCCCUUAUACCCGACUAGCUAGUCUCCUCACUUACGCCGGUUGCACUGCUCUGGACUAGGCUCGGGACUAGCCACGUCCGAACUAGUAGCUACGGACUAAGGGUUUUACAAAAACCUUCACGGGCUUCCACCGCGAAACGAAAUUUUCACGCGGGAGAUCACUCUAAUCUCGAAAAUGUCAGAUGCUAAAGUGACAGCCAAAUUGAAAAAUAAAACGUCUAUGGAUUAAUAGUGACAGUCGCUGCAAAUCAGACGUUGCUCUUGUCAAAAUUUCGAACGGACUGCAACUGAAAGAAGCAGCGGAAAGAUGUGGUGAGGAUGGUGUGUGCCCAGUCGUCGGCAGAACGAUCAAUGCAUGAGGCAAUGAAGAAAUGCUCCGCGAGUGAUAAACAAUGUCCACAAUGUAAAGCGGCCCUGUAC
rnacentral:misc_RNA from 1 species